CAGAGCCAGCCUGCAGUGGGUCAUCUCAGGGCACCAGGCAAGGCUCAGGGUUGGUAGGCUCCUCCUCUCCCAGCCAUAGGUGCUGGGGCCUGUGACCCAGAUUGAAGGGUCACCCACACAGGCCACUGGAAAUGAGACACCGGGGAAGCUGGCCCCCUCCCAUGGGCUCAUCCCCACCUUGGGCUUAGCUCAGUAUUCACCAACUUUGAAGCCUCCCACCCCUACCCUAGGACUGGCACUAGUAGGUCUCCUAUCUCCUCCUGCGAGGAAAUCUGUCCCCUACCCAACUGGACUGAGCUGCUCCUUGUCCCUGGCUUCACCAGGAUCUCUAGCCCCUUUGUCCUGCUUCUCAGAGGAGGCUUCUGCCCUCUUUCCUCUCCCCUUACACAGCCCCAGCCAGACCAGGUGGGACCCGCUGUGGAUUACCUGUCACAGGACCGCAGUAGCCAGCAGCAGCCUGCCUAGCAGUGUCUUCUCUGUUGUCUGGCUGUACCUUGGGCCCGACGCCCUGAGGAGGAGCCUUCAAGGCCUCAUCUCCAGCUUUGUAGGAACUGGGUAAAGUAUCAACCACAGCCUUCCAGAAGGCUUGAG
rnacentral:lncRNA from 1 species